GAAUUUGCUGCUUUAAAGGCAUGGCAUUUAGUGUCACAUUAAUUUACUGUUUUAGACACGUGGCAUGUGGUAUCCCACUGUAAGUUUGAAUUAGUAUAUUU
rnacentral:lncRNA from 1 species